rnacentral:rRNA from 1 species
UGAACGCUGGCGGCGUGCCUAAUACAUGCACGUCGAGCGAACGGACGCGAAGCUUGCUUCUCUGCUGUUAGCGGCGGACGGGUGAGUAACACGUGGAUAACCUACCCAUAAGACUGGGAUAACUUCGGGAAACCGUAGCUAAUACCGGAUAAUAUUUUGAACCGCAUGGUUCAAAAGUGAAAGACGGUCUUGCUGUCACUUAUAGAUGGAUCCGCGCUGCAUUAGCUAGUUGGUAAGGUAACGGCUUACCAAGGCAACGAUGCAUAGCCGACCUGAGAGGGUGAUCGGCCACACUGGAACUGAGACACGGUCCAGACUCCUACGGGAGGCAGCAGUAGGGAAUCUUCCGCAAUGGGCGAAAGCCUGACGGAGCAACGCCGCGUGAGUGAUGAAGGUCUUCGGAUCGUAAAACUCUGUUAUUAGGGAAGAACAUAUGUGUAAGUAACUGUGCACAUCUUGACGGUACCUAAUCAGAAAGCCACGGCUAACUACGUG